GGAGGGCUCAGUGGUACAGUGCAUGCCUAGUGUGCAUGAGGUCCUGGGUUCAAUCCCCAGUACCUCCA
rnacentral:tRNA from 1 species